GACGAACGCUGGCGGCGUGCCUAAUACAUGCAAGUCGAACGAACCGCGACUAAGUGCUUGCACUAAGUCAAGGUGAGUGGCGAACGGGUGAGUAACACGUGGGUAACCUACCUCAUAGUGGGGGAUAACAGUCGGAAACGACUGCUAAUACCGCAUAGGACAUAGGAUCACAUGAUCCAGUGAGGAAAGGUGGCGCAAGCUAUCGCUAAGAGAUGGACCCGCGGUGCAUUAGCUAGUUGGUAGGGUAAAGGCCUACCAAGGCGAUGAUGCAUAGCCGACCUGAGAGGGUGAUCGGCCACAUUGCGACUGAGACACGGCCCAAACUCCUACGGGAGGCAGCAGUAGGGAAUCUUCCGCAAUGGACGCAAGUCUGACGGAGCAACGCCGCGUGAGUGAAGAAGGUCUUCGGAUCGUAAAGCUCUGUUGUUAGAGAAGAACAGCGCAUAGAGUAACUGCUAUGCGUGUGACGGUAUCUAACCAGAAAGCCACGGCUAACUACGUG
rnacentral:rRNA from 1 species